AUUUAAGGAGGGUUCUUGUUUAAAGCUGUUUUUCUACUCUAGAGGAGAGGCACUCAGCUGCAGGAGAGACAGUAGUGCAUGCUUUCUCAGUCUCAACAGCACCAGCAUGCCACACAAGAGGCAUUUUAAGAAGUCCUAUGGCAGGAAUAGGUGUCUGCAAUCUUCUUUCUGCUUGUUGGUUUUGCUUCCCUAAAGCUGUUUCAACUUCUACUCUAGAGGAGAGGUAGGCUUCUCUUUUUUGCUGGGAUCAUCAUUAUUGCUAAUCAUUAUUAUCUUUUAGAAGUAUUUUCUGAAGGAGAGAAAGGGAAGGAGAAAAGGAAGGUAAAAUGGCGACCCUCUGUCUCCAAGCCAACAAACGCGCAUGUGUGCGCACUGCACCCACCAUCCCUCAGGUUCCCAACUCCCAGUCAGUACCACUAAAUAAAAAAAUUAAAUAAAAUUAAAAAGAUUCAACUGUGAUGCGGAAUAGGGAAGGAGGAGCUGAGCUUGGCUUCCUCUUGCUUUUGUGUCAGGCAGGUUUUCAUACUGGAAGGGCUCUUACUGUUAUGGGCUCCCGAAGUACCGAAGGUAACGAAGGAAAUGGAGGAAACAAAAUCCACACACAACCCUACUGUGUAGUAUUACUUCUAGUAGCUUGAGGCCCUAUCUACACUACCAUAUAGUCCAGAUUAUCUGCAUUGAAGUGGAUUAUAUGGCAGUGUAAACUCAUAUAAUCCCGUUCAAAGCAAAUAAUCUGGGAUCAAAUACUGGAUUAUAUGGCAAUAUAGAUCCAGCCUGGCUGAAACUAAAGCUUUUCUGGGGAAAUGAGGAUGGUUGGCAGUUGCAGCCUUGACCAGCACUUUAUGACACCAGAGUGAGUAUCCCUAAUCCACCUCCCUAAUAAAAAUGCCAUUUAAAAAGAAAAAUGGUUGCAAAAGGUGAGGAUAGGGUCAUGUGAUAGUCACAGGUCCUUGGUAAAGAGUUACUGGGUGACAACCCUUCUCUCAAGCCUGGUUGCUUUAUAAAACAAAUGACUUGGUUUGAGGCCUUAAUCAUUUAUCCUUUCAUAUUUUUAGAGAUGAAAAAAGUCUUGUAAGCGAGUGCAUGUGUAUGUUUAUAGUCCCCUUGCUUCUUACAGUUAACAAAAUCUAUUUUUCAAGCUCUUGAGAUGUACAUGACAACCUUUAUUUGGUUUCAUAGAAUGCAAGGAGGGGGCAGAAGGGGAGAUAACACUAAGCAGUAUUUUUAGUACUAAAGCAUAUCUUUUAUUUACACUUCUGAAUCAACAAAACCUUUUAUAACUUUUGGAAAAAAAACCCAAGCUGUUGCUAAAUUGCACCUGUCUGUUGCUGACAAUUUGUUCUCACCUUUUGUUGGCUACAGUUGAAUUCAUAGCCGUGAUAAUUGAUGUAAAUACCUUGUUUGCUUACAUUUCUUCCAGGGGAUCUUUCUAACCCUUCACAUCAAGGCUCUUGUCCAUUGAGAUGAAAAGAAAUGUUUGGUCAGAAGCAUACCACUGUGAUGCCCCAUGGGCCUCGGAGUCCUGACCCCAGCGCCAUCAUGGAUCAUGAUGAUGAAAACAUGGGAUUUUUGCCGUCUCAGCAAGAGACCGUGCCAUUCCAGAUGCCUGUUGUGGACAAUUCUUGCCAAGAACUCAUUAAAACAGACCUUGAACAAGUUCUUCCCAGCGCUUCUCCCCCCUUCGUGAGACGGGAGUUCUUUGAGGCGAGCCGUUUCCAGAGAGCACAAACAAGGAGAAGCGCGAGAUUAGCAGCCAGACAGGGCGCUAAUUAGCUAGUUUCCCCUGGGAGCUUUCAGGGAGGAACGCAUCUGGAUGAAGAUGUGUUUCGCUUCUUUUUCCCUUGGGAAAAGAAGCUCUGGACACCUGUUUGCAGGAAGAUUCGAAGUUCCUUAAAAGCUUUUCGCACGGGCGAAUCUGUGCGGAGUCACCGUGUCAGUUGAAGGAUUAACUUCGGUUCUAGUUAAGUGUGGACUGCGUUUUGAGUCCGCUAUCUCUAGUCUCUCCGUGCCUUGCCUUGCCGUGUUCUUGACCGGUCACCGUGUUCCCAGCCUUGCAUCUUGUGCCAAGUACCCAGUCUUGUCUUCAGUUCCUGCCUUGGACUUACUUUGAACUCCAGUAAAACUUUGGACACUUUUCCCACUCUAACUGCUUGGAAGUUGAGUGUUUUUCAGUUUUGGCAUUACAACUUUGAACUCUAAUAUUAUAUACUGGACAAUAUAUUUCUGGACUAUAUUUGACCUUCCCUGAAAGGUCUAUUGCUGGACUACAUUCUCUACUUGUUUUUAUCCUACUAUAAUAUUUCCUUAAUAAAGAUAUUAGAUUGUUA